UACGAAGGGGGCUAGCGUUGUUCGGAAUUACUGGGCGUAAAGCGCACGUAGGCGGACUAUUAAGUCAGAUGUGAAAUCUCGGGGCUCAACCCCGAAACUGCGUCUGAAACUAUCAGUCUAGAAUGUCGGAGGGGGUAGGGGAAUUUCACGUGUAGGGGUAAAAUCCGUAGAGAUGUGAAGGAACACCGGUGGCGAAGGCGCCUACCUGGACGACUAUUGACGCUGAGGCGCGAAAGCGUGGGGAGCAAACAGG
rnacentral:rRNA from 1 species